GCCCUAGUAACGGCGAGUGAAGCGGCAAUAGCUCAAAUUUGAAAUCUGGCUGUCUUUGGCAGUCCGAGUUGUAAUUUGCAGAGGGUGCUUUGGUGUUGGCAGCGGUCUAAGUUCCUUGGAACAGGACGUCACAGAGGGUGAGAAUCCCGUACGUGGUCGACUGCCUUCGCCGUGUAAAGCCCCUUCGACGAGUCGAGUUGUUUGGGAAUGCAGCUCUAAAUGGGAGGUAAAUUUCUUCUAAAGCUAAAUACUGGCCAGAGACCGAUAGCGCACAAGUAGAGUGAUCGAAAGAUGAAAAGCACUUUGGAAAGAGAGUCAAACAGCACGUGAAAUUGUUGAAAGGGAAGCGCUUGCCGCCAGACGUGCCCGCGGUUGUUUUCUUCCGUGGGCAGGCCAGCAUCAGUUUGGGCGGUCGGAUAAAGACCUCUGUCACGUAUCACCCUUCGGGGUGACCUUAUAGGGGAGGUGUAAUGCGACCAGCCUGGACUGAGGUCCGCGCAUCUGCUAGGAUGCUGGCGUAAUGGCUGUAAGCGGCCCGUCUUGAAACACGGACCAAGGAGUCUAACAUCUAUGCGA
rnacentral:rRNA from 1 species